rnacentral:pre_miRNA from 1 species
UCUAUCCGGCUCAUUCGAUCACUGGGGUUGGUCUCGUUUGAGACUCAUGAAUUUUACUAAUAAAUGUUUAAUUAUUCAUGAGUCUCAAACGAGACCAACCCCAGUGAUCGAAUGAGCCGGAUAGA